rnacentral:tRNA from 1 species
GGUGCACGUAGCUCAACGGCAGAGCCGUGGGUUGUGGUCCCGCUGACGACGGUUCGAUUCCGUUCGUGCUCCCCA